GAUGAACGCUGGCGGCGUGCCUAAUACAUGCAAGUCGAGCGAACGGACGAGAAGCUUGCUUCUCUGAUGUUAGCGGCGGACGGGUGAGUAACACGUGGAUAACCUACCUAUAAGACUGGGAUAACUUCGGGAAACCGGAGCUAAUACCGGAUAAUAUUUUGAACCGCAUGGUUCAAAAGUGAAAGACGGUCUUGCUGUCACUUAUAGAUGGAUCCGCGCUGCAUUAGCUAGUUGGUAAGGUAACGGCUUACCAAGGCAACGAUGCAUAGCCGACCUGAGAGGGUGAUCGGCCACACUGGAACUGAGACACGGUCCAGACUCCUACGGGAGGCAGCAGUAGGGAAUCUUCCGCAAUGGGCGAAAGCCUGACGGAGCAACGCCGCGUGAGUGAUGAAGGUCUUCGGAUCGUAAAACUCUGUUAUUAGGGAAGAACAUAUGUGUAAGUAACUGUGCACAUCUUGACGGUACCUAAUCAGAAAGCCACGGCUAACUACGUGCCAGCAGCCGCGGUAAUACGUAGGUGGCAAGCGUUAUCCGGAAUUAUUGGGCGUAAAGCGCGCGUAGGCGGUUUUUUAAGUCUGAUGUGAAAGCCCACGGCUCAACCGUGGAGGGUCAUUGGAAACUGGAAAACUUGAGUGCAGAAGAGGAAAGUGGAAUUCCAUGUGUAGCGGUGAAAUGCGCAGAGAUAUGGAGGAACACCAGUGGCGAAGGCGACUUUCUGGUCUGUAACUGACGCUGAUGUGCGAAAGCGUGGGGAUCAAACAGGAUUAGAUACCCUGGUAGUCCACGCCGUAAACGAUGAGUGCUAAGUGUUAGGGGGUUUCCGCCCCUUAGUGCUGCAGCUAACGCAUUAAGCACUCCGCCUGGGGAGUACGACCGCAAGGUUGAAACUCAAAGGAAUUGACGGGGACCCGCACAAGCAGUGGAGCAUGUGGUUUAAUUCGAAGCAACGCGAAGAACCUUACCAAAUCUUGACAUCCUUUGACAACUCUAGAGAUAGAGCUUUCCCCUUCGGGGGACAAAGUGACAGGUGGUGCAUGGUUGUCGUCAGCUCGUGUCGUGAGAUGUUGGGUUAAGUCCCGCAACGAGCGCAACCCUUAAGCUUAGUUGCCAUCAUUAAGUUGGGCACUCUAAGUUGACUGCCGGUGACAAACCGGAGGAAGGUGGGGAUGACGUCAAAUCAUCAUGCCCCUUAUGAUUUGGGCUACACACGUGCUACAAUGGACAAUACAAAGGGCAGCGAAACCGCGAGGUCAAGCAAAUCCCAUAAAGUUGUUCUCAGUUCGGAUUGUAGUCUGCAACUCGACUACAUGAAGCUGGAAUCGCUAGUAAUCGUAGAUCAGCAUGCUACGGUGAAUACGUUCCCGGGUCU
rnacentral:rRNA from 1 species